GAGUUUGAUCAUGGCUCAGAACGAACGCUGGCGGCGUGUCUUAAGCAUGCAAGUCGAGCGGCAAGGCGGGGCAACCCGCCCUAGAGCGGCGGACUGGUGAGUAACACGUGGGUGAUCUACCCUUGGUUUGGGGAUAGCCCGUGGAAACAUGGGGUAAUACCGAAUACGUCGUCCUGGCUACGGCCUGGACGGGAAAGGCGCCAAGGCGCCGACCGAGGAUGAGCCCGCGCCCCAUUAGCUAGUUGGUGAGGUAACGGCCCACCAAGGCGAUGAUGGGUAGCCGGCCUGAGAGGGUGUACGGCCACACUGGGACUGAGAUACGGCCCAGACUCCUACGGGAGGCAGCAGCUAAGAAUAUUCCGCAAUGGACGAAAGUCUGACGGAGCGACGCCGCGUGGAUGAAGAAGGCCGAAAGGUUGUAAAAUCCUUUUGUCGGGGAAGAAUAAGCCUGGGAGGGAAUGCCCGGGUGAUGACAUGAACCGGCGAAUAAGCCCCGGCUAACUACGUGCCAGCAGCCGCGGUAACACGUAGGGGGCGAGCGUUGUUCGGAAUUACUGGGCGUAAAGGGCAUGUAGGCGGUUUUGUAAGCCUGGCGUGAAAUUCUGCAGCUUAACUGUAGGGCUGCGCUGGGAACUGCGAGACUGGAGUCACGGAGAGGGAGCCAGAAUUCCAGGUGUAGGGGUGAAAUCUGUAGAUAUCUGGAAGAACACCAGUGGCGAAGGCGAGCUCCUGGCCAAUGAUUGACGCUGAGGUGCGAAAGUGUGGGGAUCAAACAGGAUUAGAUACCCUGGUAGUCCACGCUGUAAACGAUGUCAACUUGGAGUCUGUGCCAUUGAGCGUGGGCUCCGAAGCUAACGCGAUAAGUUGACCGCC
rnacentral:rRNA from 1 species